UCGCCUCAGACGGCGCCACGAUGGCGGA
rnacentral:sRNA from 1 species